rnacentral:rRNA from 1 species
ACACAUGCAAGUCGAACGGAGAUUACAGGCGGAAGUUUUCGGAUGGAAGCUUGUAAACUUAGUGGCGGACGGGUGAGUAACACGUGAGCAACCUGCCUAUCAGAGGGGGAUAACGAUUGGAAACGAUCGCUAAUACCGCAUGACAUAGCGGAACCGCAUGGUUCUGUUAUCAAAGAUUUUAUCGCUGAUAGAUGGGCUCGCGUCCGAUUAGAUAGUUGGUGGGGUAACGGCCUACCAAGUCGACGAUCGGUAGCCGGACUGAGAGGUCGAACGGCCACAUUGGGACUGAGACACGGCCCAGACUCCUACGGGAGGCAGCAGUGGGGGAUAUUGCACAAUGGGGGAAACCCUGAUGCAGCGACGCCGCGUGAGGGAAGACGGUCCUCUGGAUUGUAAACCUCUGUCUUCGGGGACGAAACGAGACGGUACCCGAGGAGGAAGCCACGGCUAACUACGUGCCAGCAGCCGCGGUAAUACGUAGGUGGCAAGCGUUGUCCGGAAUUACUGGGUGUAAAGGGAGCGUAGGCGGGCAGGCAAGUCAGGCGUGAAAUAUAUCGGCUCAACCGGUAACGGCGCUUGAAACUGCAGGUCUUGAGUGAAGUAGAGGUUGGCGGAAUUCCUAGUGUAGCGGUGAAAUGCGUAGAUAUUAGGAGGAACACCAGUGGCGAAGGCGGCCAACUGGGCUUUUACUGACGCUGAGGCUCGAAAGUGUGGGGAGCAAACAGGAUUAGAUACCC